GUAAAUAAUAAACAUAUAUAUAUAUGUGUGUGUGUGUGUGUGUGUGUAUAUAUAUAUAUACACACACACACACACAUAUAUAUAUAUAUAUGAGGGUA